rnacentral:snRNA from 1 species
GGAUGUGAGGGCGAUCUGGCUGCGACAUCUGUCACCCCAUUGAUCGCCAGGGUUGAUUCGGCUGAUCUGGCUGGCUAGGCGGGUGUCCCCUUCCUCCCUCACCGCUCCAUGUGCGUCCCUCCCGAAGCUGCGCGCCCGGUCGAAGAGGACGACCUUCCCCGAAUAGAGGAGGACCGGUCUUCGGUCAAGGGUAUACGAGUAGCUGCGCUCCCCUGCUAGAACCUCCAAACAAGCUCUCAAGAUAUGAUCUAUAGGGCUGAUGUGUAUGGUAAAUUCCUAAUAUUGGAAUU